GGGAAGGCUGGUCCAGGAGCGUGGGGAAUAGGGAGGGUGGUAAGGUUAGACGUAAGUAGUGGGCGUAAAGGGCACGUAGGCGGUUGGAUAAGGUGGGUGUGAAAGCACCGGGGUCAACCUGGGAAGUGCAUUUAAAACUGUUCAGCUAGAGUCUUGUAGAGGGGGGUAGAAUUCCAGGGGUAGCGGUGAAAUGCGUAGAGAUCUGGAGGAAUACCGGUGGCGAAGGCGGCCCCCUGGACAAAGACUGACGCUCAGGUGCGAAAGCGUGGGGAGCAAACAGGAUUAGAUACCCGGGUAGUC
rnacentral:rRNA from 1 species